UCGCGGCCUAUCAGCUUGUUGGUGGGGUAACGGCCUACCAAGGCAACGACGGGUAGCUGGUUUGAGAGAACGAUCAGCCACACUGGGACUGAGACACGGCCCAGACUCCUACGGGAGGCAGCAGUGGGGAAUCUUGCGCAAUGGGCGAAGGCCUGACGCAGCAACGCCGCGUGCGGGAUGACGGCCUUCGUGGUUGUAAACCGCUUUCAGCAGGGACGAAAAUGACGGUACCUGCAGAAGAAGCCCCGGCUAACUACGUGCCAGCAGCCGCGGUAAUACGUAGGGGGCAAGCGUUGUCCGGAUUCAUUGGGCGUAAAGAGCUCGUAGGCGGUUCAGUAAGUCGGGUGUGAAAGCUCCGAGCUCAACUCGGAGAGGCCACCCGAUACUGCUGUGACUUGAGUCCAGUAGAGGAGCGUGGAACUCCUGGUGUAGCGGUGGAAUGCGCAGAUAUCAGGAAGAACACCUGCAGCGAAGGCGGCGCUCUGGGCUGGAACUGACGCUGAGGAGCGAAAGCGUGGGUAGCAAACAGGAUUAGAUACCCUGGUAGUCCACGCCGUAAACGUUGGGCACUAGGUGUGGGGAGCCGUCAACGCUCUCUGUGCCGUAGCUAACGCAUUAAGUGCCCCGCCUGGGGAGUAC
rnacentral:rRNA from 1 species